GACGAUGAUAAAAGCUAAAAGCGUAAGAAUGCAAUAAGAGGAUUAAUUCAAUCUGUGUAAAGUAUCUCCUUGCUACCAUGAUCAUAAGUCUCUCUAUUUCUCAAUCACUUGUUCCAUUUAAAAUAAUUUUUUAAAAAUCUCUAAAAAUUCCUAAACAUACAUUCAAGCUUCUAGAACAAUAUUCCAGAAUAUUGGAAGAGUGUAUCAGAAAUUUUUCCAGAUUUUUUAAAGUCUAAAAACACUUUUAUAUCGGGCACCAGUGAUCCGGUUAGAUUAAAAAAGCAAAAAAAGAAACGUUAAAUGAAUUUGUUUCAGUUGCAUCUCGAGCAUUAGAAAUGAGACAAGCACGCGUACAUUAUAACUGGAGAAUGAAAUGUAGAAUAAUUCAAGUGCGAUAAACAGACUUAAUGAAACGAGAUACAGAAGAUACAUUAUUCGGCAUGCGGAGAGCCUUUUGCUUCAUCAACAACAAACAAUAGUAAAAAGUAACGCAAUAGAAAGAAAAAGGAAAGCUUCAAUGUACAGAAUGGUAUUUUUUUUUUCUAUUCAACGAGCAUUUUUACGUGCUGAGGAUAAAUGAAACACCCUAUAACAGGGGGAGGAUAAUUCAUCACGCGCGCGCGUAUCGGGAGAUAGUUGCUAUCACAGUAUAAACCUCGCAAUUUUGUAACAAACUGCGCUUUAAUUUGUCAUAGAUACAUUUACAAUAUACAUUUACAAUAUAUAUGUAUAUAUUUAUAAGUUCCAAUACCGCUUCUCUUCUCCCGACGAUACUCGCUGCUCAACGAUAAAGAUGAAUUAAUGGGUGUAUUACGACGACAUUACGGCGUAUUACGGUAUAUUUCGUCUUUUUUGUUUUUUUUCGCACACAUAUGCUUAUACACAUAUAUUUCUGCUGAUCUCUCGUUAUGCUAUUAUUAUAUACGCCUCUCUCAAUAACAAAAAGAAAAAAAAAGAAAGACAUGUCUCUCUUCAAAGUCGCGAGAUUUAAUUCGAAUCACGACCGAUUCUCGUUCCCUUUCCCGGGUCUUUGCACCUCGUCGAGAUCUCUUCAAGAUCGAGCACGUCGUCCUCUACGCGAGAUAUGUUUUAUGUAUAUAUACAAAAAAAGCCUAACUCCCUUACAUGCUAUUUCUUAUGAUGCUAGGUAAUCUACAUAACGUACACCAGCAACGGAGCGUGCGCUCGAUAAUUAUUAUACACAGAGAAUCUCCUCUUCGGUUUUAUCCCCUUCGCAGGAGUCUUCAUCUACGAGUUCGACGAUUAAUUCGCUACCGGACCGAACAGAAAGAUCAUUAACGAAAAAUCUGACGGGCUAGACGACACUUGGCGAAUCGUGGACCCGAAUGGCGGAGCUACUGAGAGGGAGGACGCCCGUCAUCAGCUGAUUAAUAACGCAAAAAUUAAAUAUUGCAUACUUCCAUGUCCCGACGCAUACGCACGCACGUACUUACGCACAUACACACCAACGAGCACGUGCAAAAUUCGUUCGCGCGUGCACUUGUCAACGCAGAGGUAAGCGUCAGGCGAAAUGCAUUCGCGAAUGACAAUGUAUGCAACAAUGAUACGUUGUGUAUAAAUACACAUUUAUACAUAUAGGUACGCGUUUAUAUAUAUAGAGUCACUGCAGUGAUCCUAAAUUACUGAUUGAAAAAAAUCUCAGAGCAAUUUAAAUAAAAGAUGAGCCGCUUGUAAAUAUCCUCGUAAUAAAUGAUCUUUUAAGCGAGUUUAAUGGAAUAAACUGCAAUUUAGGAAAAUCAGGAAGAAUCAGGUCAAGAUUAUUAUGCCAAAUCUAUGAACUUGAUAACAAUGAUAUAAAAUUAUUGCCAGUUCACGUUUGAACAACCGAGUGAUACAAUAAUUUCAUUCAUGAUCGCAGAAUUUUGAAAGCACCGUGGACGAAUCAAUGGAAAAAAAUAAGAACCAAUUUUAAUUGUCGACCUAACAAUGGAAGAAAUUUGAAGUUAGGACUUGAAAUUCAAACAAAAACUUUUGCUGAUUAUUACCACGAGAUAUCGGUAUUAAUCAUCCGACAUAUAACGAAUAAUUAAAAAUAAAUUGAUAUGAUUACAUAUUUAAAUAAAAAAACGAUAUUUUAAUCAAAUCUGUAUGAAAAUUAGAACUAAAAAGUAUAAAUCAAUUUGCAAUUUGCUGAUUUGAAAACUGCGUUCGUGGAGCAUACUGCACAACACGUCACUUUAUCUUUAUUUUAUGUCGAUAAAAAUAGAAUAACGGAAUAACGUUAAUAGUAUGUUCUCUGAACGCAGCCGAAGUAUUACUAUUUUAAUAUUCUUUUUUUUUAACAAUCAUUUACUGAUUCAGUGACUGAUGCAGUGACUCUACAUUAUAUGAUGCAAACAUAUAAUGUAUUAUAUUCUACGUUAUACGUUAUUUGCUCGCGGAUACAUUUUGCCCGACAUUGCAAACGGAGGAACUUUUGAUAGACGUGCGGAUCGACUUACUCUUGGCGCUAGCGAUCUCGACUUAGAGCUAUUGAACCUGCCGGUUAAUCUCGUUUUAGAAAACUAUCAAAAAUUCCUAUAUCGAAAGUAGACUUGUCCUUUAUGUACAAUAUAUGUAGAAGCUAGACUUCUUUACUUUCGACGAACGGUGUAAAAGUGUCAAAGUUUCGCGAGUCACUUGUAAAAAGGAAACUGCAGUCAAAGAAAUCUACAAACGAUUGUUUACCUAAUUUCCGUAGAGAGCCUCACGGAUACGAUACGGUCAGUUACGUAAAAAAAAA